GGGGAUUUAGCUCAGCGGUAGAGCGCUUGCCUAGGAAGCGCAAGGCCCUGGGUUCGAUUCCCAGCUCCG
rnacentral:tRNA from 1 species